CCUACGGGAGGCAGCAGUGGGGAAUAUUGCACAAUGGGGGGAACCCUGAUGCAGCAAAGCGGCGUGGGUGAAGAAGUACUCCGGUAUGAAAAGCCCUGUCAGCAGGGAAGAAAAUGACGGUACCGGACCAAGAAGCCCCGGCUAACUACGAGCCCGCAGCGGCGGUAAUACGUGGGGGGAAAGCGUUAUCCGGAUUUACUGGGUGUAAAGGGAGCGAAGACGGCAAGGCAAGUCUGGAGGGAAGGCCCGUGGCCCAACCACGGGCCUGCUUUGGAAACUGUGUUGCUGGAUUGCAGGAGGGGUAAGCGGAAUUCCUAGUGUAGCGGUGAAAUGCGUAGAUAUUAGGAGGAACACCGGUGGCGAAGGCGGCUUACUGGACUGUAACUGACGUUGAGGCUCGAAGGCGUGGGGAGCAAACAGGAUUAGAUACCCCGGUAGUC
rnacentral:rRNA from 1 species